rnacentral:rRNA from 1 species
UCGAGAAGUUGACUUCCGCAAGGACACUCGUAGAGGUGCUGCAUGGCUGUCGUCAGCUCGUGUCGUGAGAUGUUGGGUUAAGUCCCGCAACGAGCGCAACCCUUGUCUUCUGUUGCCAUCAGGUCAAGCUGGGCACUCUGGAGAGACUGCCGGUGAUAAACCGGAGGAAGGUGGGGAUGACGUCAAGUCAGCAUGGCCUUUAUGUCUGGGGCUACACACGUGCUACAAUGGCCGGCACAAACCGUCGCGAGCCCGCAAGGGGGAGCUAAUCGGAUAAAGUCGGUCUCAGUUCGGAUCGUCGGCUGCAACUCGCCGGCGUGAAGUUGGAAUCGCUAGUAAUCGCGGAUCAGCACGCCGCGGUGAAUACGUUCCCGGGCCUUGUACACACCGCCCGUCACAUCACGAAAGCCGGUUGUACUAGAAGUCGCCACACCAACCCGCAAGGGAGGGAGGCGCCUAAGGUAUGGUCGGUGAUUGGGGUGAAGUCGUAACAAGGUAACCGU